rnacentral:rRNA from 1 species
UGGGGAAUAUUGCACAAUGGGCGCAAGCCUGAUGCAGCCAUGCCGCGUGUGUGAAGAAGGCCUUCGGGUUGUAAAGUACUUUCAGUCGGGAGGAAGGUGUCAAGGUUAAUAACCUUGGCAAUUGACGUUACCGACAGAAGAAGCACCGGCUAACUCCGUGCCAGCAGCCGCGGUAAUACGGAGGGUGCAAGCGUUAAUCGGAAUUACUGGGCGUAAAGCGCACGCAGGCGGUUUGUUAAGUCAGAUGUGAAAUCCCCGGGCUCAACCUGGGAACUGCAUCUGAUACUGGCAAGCUUGAGUCUCGUAGAGGGGGGUAGAAUUCCAGGUGUAGCGGUGAAAUGCGUAGAGAUCUGGAGGAAUACCGGUGGCGAAGGCGGCCCCCUGGACGAAGACUGACGCUCAGGUGCGAAAGCGUGGGGAGCAAACAGG